rnacentral:misc_RNA from 1 species
AACUUUCAACAAUGGAUCUCUUGGCUCUCGCAUCGAUGAAGAACGCAGCGAAUUGCGAUAUGUAAUGUGAAUUGCAGAAUUCAGUGAAUCAUCGAAUCUUUGAACGCAUAUUGCACCCUCUGGUCAUUCCGGAGGGUAUGCCUGUUUGAGUGUCAUUAAUAAUAUCAACACAGGCAAGUUUUUUUCAUGACUUGCUCUGCUGCUUGGAUGUUGAAGGUUUGCUGGCAUUGACAUGUUCUGUCAGCUCCUUUUAAAUUCAUUAGCAGGAACCUUGCAGGACUGGCUUCAGUUUGAUAAGAUUGAACUGUUGCCGGAAUGCGCUUUUGCUGUUCCAGCUUCCAAUCGUCUGGUAAAACUGGACUGUCUCAUUUUUAGAGGCAAUUUUACCUUUUGAUAACUUGAUCUCAAAUCAGGUAGGAUUACCCGCUGAACUUAAGCAUAUCAAUAAGCGGAGGAAAAGAAACUAACAAGGAUUCCCCUAGUAACUGCGAGUGAAGCGGGAAAAGCUCAAAUUUAGAAUCUGGCAGCUCUGCUGUCCGAGUUGUAAAUUAGAGAAGUGCUAUCUGCGCUGGCCUGUGCACAAGUCCCUUGGAAAAGGGCAUCAUAGAGGGUGACAAUCCCGUCUUUGGCAUGGAUUCCCAGUGCAUUUGUGAUGCGCUCUCAAAGAGUCGAGUUGUUUGGGAAUGCAGCUCCAAAUGGGUGGUAAAUUCCAUCUAAAGCUAAAUACUGGCGAGAGACCGAUAGCGCACAAGUACCGUGAGGGAAAGAUGAAAAGAACUUUGAAAAGAGAGUUAAACAGUACGUGAAAUUGUUGAAAGGGAAACGCUUGAAGUCAGUCGCAUCCUUCAGAAAUCAACCGACUUAGUCGCGCGCACUUUCUGUUUGGAUGGGUCAGCAUCAAUUUUGACCAUUGGACAAAGACCUUGGGAAAGUGGCAUCUCCGGAUGUGUUAUAGCCCAUGGAUCACAUACAGUGGUUGGGAUUGAGGACAUCUCAGUGCUUGCACUGCAGGAUGCUGGCAUAAUGGCUUUAAUCGACCCGUCUUGAAACACGGACCAAGGAGUCUAACAUAUAUGC